UUGUUUUUAAAUUAAAAUUAUGUUAGGGCCAUUUCAGUUAAAAGUUGGGCGGUAAAUAGUAGUCCACUAUUUAAACUCACGUGGUUUCUAAAUUAGACAAUUACUCCCUCCGGUCCAUAAUAUUUGUCGCAUUUGAGAAUUUUUUUUGGUCCAUAAUAUUUGUCACAUUAGAAUUUUAAGAAAGCAUUAAUUGCUAUUUUUCCAAAAUUAUCCCUAGUAAUAAAUUACUUUAUAAGAUUAAAAAAACUAGUCAAACAUAAAACAAGUGGUAAUUAAUAUAGACAAUUUAGUAAAACUAUACACAAAUCAAGACAUAUUUAUUAUUUUCUUAAUUUAUGUGAAAUAGUCUAAUGCGAUAAAUAUUAUGGAGCGGAGGGAGUAAUUUUUACACCUUUUUACACCUUUAUUUAACCUCGAGAUUUAAAUUAAAAUAAAUUCAAGGUCGGAUUUUCCAUUCUUUCAACAACAAAAAAUUGUACCCCCUGAAUUCAAUUCCUAUGAACGUAAAGAUGAUGGUGGCGAAGGCUUUGAUGGGUUUAUCAGAGUAUAAAUUGAACAUAAAUUUAUGAUACCGUAGGAAAAUCCAUCAGAGUAUUUGCAGGAGAAUUAGCUCUUUGUCAUCUUUGAAGGUGUAUAUUCCUUUCUGAUCCAAAGUAUUGUGGAGAUGGCUAACAAAACUUCUUCGAACAUCUAAACCUCGAAAGCUCAAAAAGACAUCAUAUAUCCAACAAGUUGAAGACGACGAUGAAGCCAUUAAGAGAUGGAUCAACGACUAGCUUGUAUGAUUGUUAAGAGUAGGAGAAUGUAUUUAUAUAUCCAGAACUGAAAGACUUUAAUUUGUAACUGAGAAAGCAUCAACGGACAUGUUUGGUAUGUAUAUAAAGGCAGCUACUUAUUGAGUUUUUGAUUCUCUUAGGGGCUGUAAACAUCACUUGAAGCUAGUUGGCCCUAUGAUAAAUACAUAUUGAUGCAACAGAGUAGACUUUUUUGA